GACGAACCGUGCAAACGUUGUUCGGAAUCACUGGGCUUAAAGGGCGCGUAGGCGGGCUGCCGCGUCCGGGGUGAAAUCCUCCCGCUCAACGGGAGAACGGCCUCGGAUACGGGCGGGCUCGAGGGGGGUAGGGGCAUCUGGAACUGUGGGUGGAGCGGUGAAAUGCGUUGAUAUCCACAGGAACUCCGGUGGCGAAGGCGAGGUGCUGGACCCCAUCUGACGCUGAGGCGCGAAAGCCAGGGGAGCGAACGGG
rnacentral:rRNA from 1 species